rnacentral:rRNA from 1 species
AGCAGCCGCCACGGUAAUACGUAGGUGGCAAGCGUUGUCCGGAAUUAUUGGGCGUAAAGGGCUCGCAGGCGGUUUCUUAAGUCUGAUGUGAAAGCCCCCGGCUCAACCGGGGAGGGUCAUUGGAAACUGGGAAACUUGAGUGCAGUAGAGGAGAGUGGAAUUCCACGUGUAGCGGUGAAAUGCGUAGAGAUGUGGAGGAACACCAGUGGCGAAGGCGACUCUCUGGUCUGUAACUGACGCUGAGGAGCGAAAGCGUGGGGAGCGAACAGGAUUAGAUACCCGAGUAGUCCCUGUCUCUUAUAC